rnacentral:rRNA from 1 species
AGUGAACGCUGGCAGUAGGCCUAACACAUGCAAGUCGAACGGCAGCACAGUAAGAGCUUGCUCUUACGGGUGGCGAGUGGCGGACGGGUGAGGAAUACAUCGGAAUCUACUUUUUCGUGGGGGAUAACGUAGGGAAACUUACGCUAAUACCGCAUACGACCUACGGGUGAAAGCAGGGGAUCUUCGGACCUUGCGCGAUUGAAUGAGCCGAUGUCGGAUUAGCUAGUUGGCGGGGUAAAGGCCCACCAAGGCGACGAUCCGUAGCUGGUCUGAGAGGAUGAUCAGCCACACUGGAACUGAGACACGGUCCAGACUCCUACGGGAGGCAGCAGUGGGGAAUAUUGGACAAAGGGCGCAAGCCUGAUCCAGCCAUACCGCGUGGGUGAAGAAGGCCUUCGGGUUGUAAAGCCCUUUUGUUGGGAAAGAAAAGCAGCAGGUUAAUACCCCGCUGUUCUGACGGUACCCAAAGAAUAAGCACCGGCUAACUUCGUG